CUAAAGCGAGGCAGCGGCUUGCUCCUGCCCCUGAUCUUGCAGUGUGAGGCGGGCCGCGCCAGCCCCACCCCCUCGUCUCUCAGCUGUUUUUUCAAGGCUCGUCGUGGAAGGGGGGCUUGGCAAAGCGGGAUUCCUGGAGUUUGCAGCAAGGGAAAGUCCCGCGGGUGCGCGAGAGAAAACACCCUGCCAUCUCUCUUCACUCCCACCGCACUGGUCUCUGCCUUUCUUCAGGCCAGCGGGCGCGCGCGCACACGCACAUUAUACAUACACACGCGCGCGCACAUAACACACAGACAGACGGAGAACGCGGCACGUGGGUGGCUAUGAAUCUGUAGCUGCCGCCGCCUGUAAGGCGAGAUUGGCGUUAAUGCUACUGCUGUUGCUGCUGCCAGCGCCGUCGCUCUUGGUGGGCUUUGCCAGGAACCCCGCAAGGAGGAAGCGAGAAGCGAGCUGUUGAAAAGCAGGGAGGGGGGUGCGGAGUAUAAGGGGAAGCCCGGCAGUAGCAGCGGCAGCAACAAGGCAAACGAAGAGGAGAAGGAGGAAGAAGAAGAGGAGGACUUGGUGACAAGGAGAGCGGGAAUUCCCUUUCCUCUCUGAGAGUACCGGCCGGCUGGCCAGGCAAGCAGUAGCUUCAUGAGCGCUCUCCAGAACGAUGUUGUGCCCAGCAAGGCAGCGGGAUCUGGCUGAGCCCAGCCUGUGCUGAGCAGCAGUGGUGGAGGAGCAGCCGGAGAAGGAGGUGGGGAGGGCCCCGUGCAUGCAGCACCUAGCUAGACUGGCACUCCUGCCAAGAUGCCCUGUCCUGGGUGUGUGUGAGGACUUCUCGUGGGAGCUACCAAGUGCCGUGAAGAGGAGCCGUGGCCGGGGUUGGCUGCCCCCAUUCAUCAGCUGCCCGGUGCCGCUGGCUCCUCAGCAGGAGGCAUCAUGAUCUCCUAACCGGCUGGCUCGAGUCUCUCUCGCGCUUUCUCUUUCUCCCCCCCUCCCCCUUUCCCCCUCCCCCACCCCCAUGGAAUUACCCGCCAUCGUCGGCCGGAGCUGGAGCUGCUGAACUCAUGUUGCUUGGCGAACAGAGCGCGCCAGUCCAAAAGUGAACGUUUGAUCCAUCCUGGCUGCUUGAAGGGGUGCUGCGUGAGCUGGCAGAGUCUCGAACCCCAGAGGUGGGAGAGACUCUCCAUCUAACCAAGAUACCUGCAAGAUUGGAUAGCAAUGUCCCAGCCUUUCCAACACAAAGGGGACGUGCCUGGAUUUGUCACAGCUAAAUUUGAAGGAUAAACCUGUCCAAUAUCUGCUGCCAUUGUAAAAGCUGGGCUUUAGAGAUAGUACAUGGAAUCGUCUGAAUUAGAAAAAGAAUUUUUGAGUUCCUGUAUUUUGAGGCCUGCGAUGCCUGGCUUAUGCAUUCACUUCGAAACAUGGCUUUAAAUACUUUCUUUGUUGAUAGAAUUCUUGGAUUUUGUUCUCUAAUUGUUUUACAAUAUGUUUGUUAUUUAAUAAGAUGUAUUUAAUCUUGAUAAGUUCCUUUUCAUUGUCUUUUUCUCAAAUUGUAUCCAACCUGUAAUCCAAUUUGACUCUAUUUUAUCACCAAUAAAAGUUUUUUGUAAAUAUAACCACAAAGGUGUUGAAAUAUAUAUGUAGUUGAUUCUAGAAUAUGUUUAAUGUAUAUUAGAGUAAAAUGUAUAGUCUCUUUCCAAUGGGUGUCCUUCUCUCCAUUUAUCUAUUAAGUUGAAUUUUUCAGACAAUUGUUGCAAAGCAAAGUUUUGGAUUGUUUCUGAGUACAUUUCUUUGUUAGACAUGUCCAAGAUUGAGUUGAUUAAUGUAUCAAAAUCUCCUUCUAUAAUCCAAUUUUUAAUGUUUUUUUUUGUAAUUUUUUAAAAAAGUGAUUUAAGGAAAAAGUGUUGUUUGGUAUUAGGGGCAUAAAUUGAGCCCAGCAUCGUAGGUUUUUCAGAUAAAAUGCCUUUAUAAAAAUGUAUCAUCUUCAGGAUCAGCAUGUGUUUUAGAUGGUCUAAAAGGACAGCCGUUGGAGGUUAAUACGGCCACCCUUCUUGAUCUGGAUGUUACAUGCUAUGGGAAAUUAAAAUAGCUGAAAAGCUUUAAA